UCUUUUCUUUUGAUAAGAGAGUUUUUAAAACCAGUGUUAUUUAUGUAAGUUUAAGAGAAGUUUAUGUAUUAAAUUAUUGAUAUUAAAUAGGUUUAUUAGGCUUAGACUUAAUUUUAGGUCAUUUUGGGGGUUUAGCUCAGUUGGCUAGAGCAUCGGCUUUGCAAGCCGAGGGUCAAGGGUUCGAGUCCCUUAACCUCCAUUGGGCUUAUGCCCUAAAUUGUAAUUAAGUAUGUUUUUAAGUAACUUUGUUAAAGUAAUUGUUGGAAUGUGAAACAGAGGAAGUUAAAAUUUCUGGGUUAAGUUGAGAUCUGUUGAUAUUAAGAAAAAUGUCUAGAAGCAAAAGCAAGCUUUCGAUAAAACCCGAAGUUGUUUCGCUAAAGUGCAAGGAUUAAACAGGAUUGUAUUUUUCAGCAGCCUAUUUUAUAAACGAUCUGCAUUUAGUAAAUAGUUUUUAGUUAGGAAAUAAUGUAGAUUACUAAGUGUGAUGUCUGAGAGAAGGACAAGUAUUGUAGCGAGCUUAAAUCCUUAUUAUCGUUGCCAGUAUUUAGUGGUAGGGAUUCGGGUAAGACUGCCAUUUAUAAGUUGGAAGAAGGCAAAGAUUGCAUUAAAUCGUUAUCGCUCUUAUGUUUUAGGUUACAAGUUUGCCACAAUAACCCAAAAAAGCUAAGCAAAAUGCUAUAAAGCAGAUUUCAGUUUGGAUUUGCCCGACACUCAAUGGCAUGAAGUUGUAAUUGUUAGUAAUCG
rnacentral:misc_RNA from 1 species